GGGAAGCAGCCCAGAUCUUCUAAUGGAGCUAGCAAGCACCUGAGGAACUGAGGCCCAGAGGGGACAGGGAUGAAACUCCUGCAUUCAGCCAUUGAAAGUUCUCAAACUCUUCCGGUGUUGAGCAGUGGCAGCAGCUGCUGCAGGAACCAGGAAGGAAGGAGAUCCAAGCUCCGGGCAGCCGCUCAGCUCUGCCCCCCUGCUCCCCGGAGGACUC
rnacentral:lncRNA from 1 species